rnacentral:lncRNA from 12 species
CUUCUAUAUAUACUGCACAGUAUCUUUGAUUUAACCACUAGAAAAGUGUAAAAUAAGUUUCAAAAUCUUCAUCACUGCUUUUUGAACAGGUGAGAAAAAAACCAUGAUAAACAUAUAUGACAGAACAGAUUUCACCUGAACAGAUUUCAGUUUUCUUUACACAGGACAGAUGCAUCGUGUUCUGUUACAAAUAAAC